rnacentral:rRNA from 1 species
AUUGAACGCUGGCGGCAGGCUUAACACAUGCAAGUCGAGCGGAGAUGAGGUGCUUGCACCUUAUCUUAGCGGCGGACGGGUGAGUAAUGCUUAGGAAUCUGCCUAUUAGUGGGGGACAACAUUCCGAAAGGAAUGCUAAUACCGCAUACGCCCUACGGGGGUAAGCAGGGGAUCUUCGGACCUUGCGCUAAUAGAUGAGCCUAAGUCGGAUUAGCUAGUUGGUGGGGUAAAGGCCUACCAAGGCGACGAUCUGUAGCGGGUCUGAGAGGAUGGUCCGACACACUGGGACUGAGACACGGCCCAGACGCCUACGGGAGGCAGCAGUGGGGAAUAUUGGACAAUGGGCGGAAGCCUGAUCCAGCCAUGCCGCGUGUGUGAAGAAGGCCUUUUGGUUGUAAAGCACUUUAAGCGAGGAGGAGGCUACCUGGAUUAAUACUCUAGGAUAGUGGACGUUACUCGCAGAAUAAGCACCGGCUAACUCUGUGCCAGCCGCCGCAGUAACAC